GUAUCCUGGCUUAGGAUGAACGCUAGCUACAGGCUUAACACAUGCAAGUCGAGGGGUAACAUUGGCUGAGCUUGCUCAGCCAGAUGACGACCGGCGCACGGGUGAGUAACGCGUAUCCAACCUGCCCAUGGGUCAGGAAUAACCUUCCGAAAGGGAGCCUAAUACCUGAUGCAGUGAGAAGAAGGCCUCUGAUUUUUCACGAAAGACUUCGGUCGCCGAUGGAUGGGGAUGCGUACGAUUAGGCAGCAGGCGGGGUAACGGCCCACCUGGCCUACGAUCGUUAGGGGUUCUGAGAGGAAGGUCCCCCACACUGGUACUGAGACACGGACCAGACUCCUACGGGAGGCAGCAGUGAGGAAUAUUGGUCAAUGGGCGCAAGCCUGAACCAGCCAAGUAGCGUGCAAGGACGACUGCCCUAUGGGUUGUAAACUGCUUUUAUGCGGGGAUAAAGUUUGCCACGUGUGGCAAUUUGCAGGUACCGCAUGAAUAAGGACCGGCUAAUUCCGUGCCAGCAGCCGC
rnacentral:rRNA from 1 species